rnacentral:rRNA from 1 species
CACGUAGGGUGCGAGCGUUGUCCGGAAUUAUUGGGCGUAAAGAGCUCGUAGGCGGCUUGUCGCGUCGACUGUGAAAACCCGGGGCUCAACUCCGGGCCUGCAUUCGAUACGGGCGGACUAGAGUUCGGUAGGGGAGACUGGAAUUCCUGGUGUAGCGGUGAAAUGCGCAGAUAUCAGGAGGAACACCGGUGGCGAAGGCGGGUCUCUGGGCCGAUACUGACGCUGAGGAGCGAAAGCGUGGGGAGCGAACAGG